GCACUAUAAAGGGAACAGGGAGCCAUUUUGGGACGGCUAUGUUGUGAUGUAUCAGAUUUGACUGUAGUACAGUCAGUUCAAUCAAUACCGUGUAGAAUUCACCUAAUAAAUCGGGAUUAUGCCCCUUGUUGCUUGCUGUUUUUAAGGCUAUGGGGACGUCCCAAAUGGCAUGCUAUUCCCUACAUAGGGUCCCGCACACUAUCAAAUACUUGUGAUGGAAAUUCCACCGGGAGGUCAAUCCAUCCCACCAGACACCAUGGUUUCGGCAUCACUGUUCCUUCAGACCCUGAAUGACUGGGGGGUUUAUAUAUAUACAGAGAGAGUUUGACUUAUGUAUUUUUAUAGCUUCCUGUUUAUUCUCUGUUAGUCAGCACCUCUACAUUAAGUAAUGUUCUCUGGGUAUGCACCAGAUCUUUUUAAUAGUCAGCAAGUUAACACUAAAUCAGAAACAUAUUUUUAAAGUCUGAAAUCCCUAAGUGACUUGGUUUAUUGAUUGUUCUCCAGUAACUGUGACAUCAGAUAAAACUAAUUCAGUCUCUCUCUAGUUAAGAUAUGGACCCAGAUAAAACUCAUUCAGUCUGUCUCUAGUUAAGAUAUGGACCCAGAUAAAACUCAUUCAGUCUGUCUCUAGUUGUUAAGAUAUGGACCCAGAUAAAACUCAUUCAGUCAGUCUCUAGUUAAGAUAUGGACCCAGAUAAAACUCAUUCAGUCUGUCUCUAGUUAAGAUAUGGACCCAGAUAAAACUCAUUCAGUCUGUCUCUAGUUAAGAUAUGGACCCAGAUAAAACUCAUUCAGUCUGUCUCUAGUUAAGAUAUGGACCCAGAUAAAACUCAUUCAGUCUGUCUCUAGUUAAGAUAUGGACCCAGAUAAAACUCAUUCAGACAGUCUCUAGUUAAGAUAUGGGCCCAGAGGUCAACUGAUAUGUUUAGCACUUUUAAAAUAAAUGUUUAGGUUAAAAGCUAAACUGACCUAAGUUCAGUGUCUUGGGGUGUCUUCAGUGGUCGCUAACCCUGGUCUAGAAGGGCUGCAGUGUGUGUGUGUGUGUGUAGGUUUUUAUUCCUGCCCGGCACUAACACACAUCAUUCAGCUAACCAAGGUUUUGAUGAUUCUGAUAAACAUAAAAGCAGGUGUGUUAGUGCUGGGCUGGACCAAAAGCCUGCACCCUGUACCUCUCCGUGACCAGGGUUGGCCAGCCUUGUCCUACAUGGUCUGAACAGAAGCACAUGUGAUGUGAGAUUCUUCCCAGGAGGUUUUCAUUGAUCAUCAGGAGGCUAUGAUAGAAUCAGAACUCUCUCAUUCUAUGGAGAGAAUUAGAAUUCUGUUCACUCCAUUCUGGAGCCUCUACUGCUACACAACCGGUUGUAUUCUGUUCUGUCACACUUCUCUUUCUCUGUUGUCUGCAAGGAGAUAUACUGUUCAUUCAAAUAUUCUCUAUUGAAUUUAAAGGCAAUAUUUUAACUUGGAUCAAUUACUGGAGAUGAUAUGAUGUAGAAAUGAAUAAAGUAUUUAAAAAUGUAAAAGAAAAUUGCAUGUCUGUUGUGUGUGUAUGUUUUCUUUGUAAAUGAAUGUCUUAUCUUUUAAAAUAUAUUAAUUCCACUACUGUUUAGAUAAUACAUUAGCUUCCAUGCCAUGCUGUGAACAUCAAGCAAAGAUAUCAGGCAGGAUAAGGUGGUUGAGGAGGUGUUUAGUCC
rnacentral:lncRNA from 1 species